GAUGAACGCUGGCGGCGCGCCUAAUACAUGCAAGUCGAGCGAACGGACGAGAAGCUUGCUUCUCUGAUGUUAGCGGCGGACGGGUGAGUAACACGUGGAUAACCUACCUAUAAGACUGGGAUAACUUCGGGAAACCGGAGCUAAUACCGGAUAAUAUUUUGAACCGCAUGGUUCAAAAGUGAAAGACGGUCUUGCUGUCACUUAUAGAUGGAUCCGCGCUGCAUUAGCUAGUUGGUAAGGUAACGGCUUACCAAGGCAACGAUGCAUAGCCGACCUGAGGGGGUGAUCGGCCACACUGGAACUGAGACACGGUCCAGACUCCUACGGGAGGCAGCAGUAGGGAAUCUUCCGCAAUGGGCGAAAGCCUGACGGAGCAACGCCGCGUGAGUGAUGAAGGUCUUCGGAUCGUAAAACUCUGUUAUUAGGGAAGAACAUAUGUGUAAGUAACUGUGCACAUCUUGACGGUACCUAAUCAGAAAGCCACGGCUAACUACGUG
rnacentral:rRNA from 1 species